rnacentral:rRNA from 1 species
UACGGAGGGUGCAAACGUUGCUCGGAAUCAUUGGGCGUAAAGCGCACGUAGGCGGUUCGUUAAGUCGGAUGUGAAAGCCCCGGGCUCAACCCGGGAAGUGCAUUCGAAACUGGCGAGCUUGAGUAUGGAAGAGGGUCGCGGAAUUCCCGGUGUAGAGGUGAAAUUCGUAGAUAUCGGGAGGAACACCUGAGGCGAAGGCGGGCUACUGGGCUGAUACUGACGCUGAGGCGCGAAAGCCAGGGGAGCGAACGGG